AAUAUUGGACAAUGGGCGAAAGCCCGAUCCAGCCAUGCCGCGUGUGUGAAGAAGGUCUUCGGAUUGUAUAGCACUGUAAGUUGGGGGGAAGGGCUUUAGGCCAAUACCCUGAAGUUUUGAUGUUUACAAAUGAGUAAGCACAGGCUCACUUUGUACCAGCGCCCGCGGUAAUACAGAGAGAGCAAGAGUUAAUCUGAAUUACUUGGAGUAAAGCGCACGUAGGUGGUGCAGUAAGAUGGGUGUGAAAACCCCAGGCUUAACCUGGGAACUGCUUUCAUAACUGCUGAGCUAGAGUACGGUAGAGGGUAGUGGAAUUUCCUGUGUAGCGGUGAAAUGCGUAGAUAUAGGAAGGAACACCAGUGGCGAAGGCGACUUCCUGGACUGAUACUGACACUGAGGUGCGAAAGCGUGGGGAGCAAACAGG
rnacentral:rRNA from 1 species